GAUGAACGCUGGCGGCGUGCCUAAUACAUGCAAGUCGAGCGAACAGACGAGGAGCUUGCUCCUCUGACGUUAGCGGCGGACGGGUGAGUAACACGUGGAUAACCUACCUAUAAGACUGGGAUAACUUCGGGAAACCGGAGCUAAUACCGGAUAAUAUAUUGAACCGCAUGGUUCAAUAGUGAAAGACGGUUUUGCUGUCACUUAUAGAUGGAUCCGCGCCGCAUUAGCUAGUUGGUAAGGUAACGGCUUACCAAGGCGACGAUGCGUAGCUGACCUGAGAGGGUGAUUGGCCACACUGGAACUGAGACACGGUCCAGACUCCUACGGGAGGCAGCAGUAGGGAAUCUUCCGCAAUGGGCGAAAGCCUGACGGAGCAACGCCGCGUGAGUGAUGAAGGUCUUCGGAUCGUAAAACUCUGUUAUUAGGGAAGAACAAAUGUGUAAGUAACUAUGCACGUCUUGACGGUACCUAAUCAGAAAGCCACGGCUAACUACGUG
rnacentral:rRNA from 1 species